rnacentral:rRNA from 1 species
UACGAAGGGGGCUAGCGUUACUCGGAUUGACUGGGCGUAAAGGGCGCGUAGGCGGCUUGUACAGUCAGACGUGAAAUUCCUGGGCUCAACCUGGGGGCUGCGUUUGAUACGUAUGGGCUUGAGUUCGGAAGAGGGUCGUGGAAUUCCCAGUGUAGAGGUGAAAUGCGUAGAUAUCAGGAGGAACACCGGCGGUGUAGACGGCUUGCUAGACCAUAACUGACGCUGUGGCACGAAAGCGUGGGUAGCAAACAGG